AGCUUAUCUGUGAAGGAAAACAUCGUGAUGAAAUCUACGUACAUCUGCGAAGAAAUUCAAAGGUGUAUGUGAAGCUUUGUUUUAAUACCACGUCGGUGGUAAACAAGCAUACGGCCCGCCUGAUGGUAAGCAGUCUCCGUAGCCUAUGUACGCCUGCAACUCCAGCUCCGAGAGCUCUAACACUCUCCACCCUCGUUGAGCUCUGGCAACCUUACUCAC